GUUAUCGUUUAUUUGAUAGUACCUUACUACUUGGAUAACCGUGGUAAUUCUAGAGCUAAUACAUGCUGAAAACCCCAACUUCGGGAGGGGUGUAUUUAUUAGAUAAAAAACCAACGCCCUUCGGGGCUUCUUGGUGAUUCAUGAUAACUUCACGGAUCGCAUGGCCUUGCGCCGGCGACGGUUCAUUCAAAUUUCUGCCCUAUCAACUUUCGAUGGUAAGGUAUUGGCUUACCAUGGUUUCAACGGGUAACGGGGAAUUAGGGUUCGAUUCCGGAGAGGGAGCCUGAGAAACGGCUACCACAUCCAAGGAAGGCAGCAGGCGCGCAAAUUACCCAAUCCCGACACGGGGAGGUAGUGACAAUAAAUACUGAUACAGGGCUCUUUUGGGUCUUGCAAUUGGAAUGAGUACAAUUUAAACCUCUUAACGAGGAACAAUUGGAGGGCAAGUCUGGUGCCAGCAGCCGCGGUAAUUCCAGCUCCAAUAGCGUAUAUUAAAGUUGCUGCAGUUAAAAAGCUCGUAGUUGAAACUUGG
rnacentral:rRNA from 1 species